rnacentral:rRNA from 1 species
AUUGAACGCUGGCGGCAUGCCUUACACAUGCAAGUCGAACGGCAGCACGGGAGCAAUCCUGGUGGCGAGUGGCGAACGGGUGAGUAAUAUAUUGGAACGUGCCCAGUAGUGGGGGAUAACUGCUCGAAAGAGCAGCUAAUACCGCAUACGACCUGAGGGUGAGAGCGGGGGAUCGCAAGACCUCGCGCUAUUGGAGCGGCCGAUAUCAGAUUAGCUAGUUGGUGAGGUAAGGGCUCACCAAGGCGACGAUCUGUAGCUGGUCUGAGAGGACGACCAGCCACACUGGGACUGAGACACGGCCCAGACUCCUACGGGAGGCAGCAGUGGGGAAUUUUGGACAAUGGGCGCAAGCCUGAUCCAGCCAUGCCGCGUGCGGGAAGAAGGCCUUCGGGUUGUAAACCGCUUUUGUCCGGAAAGAAAUGGCUCUGGUUAAUACCUGGGGUCGAUGACGGUACCGGAAGAAUAAGGACCGGCUAACUACGUGCCAGCAGCCGCAGUAA